rnacentral:rRNA from 1 species
UACAGAGGUCUCAAGCGUUGUUCGGAAUCACUGGGCGUAAAGCGUGCGUAGGCUGUUUCGUAAGUCAGUUGUGAAAGUUUGCGGCUCAACCGUAAAAUUGCAGUUGAAACUGGCAGUCUUGAGUACAGUAGAGGUGGGCGGAAUUCGUGGUGUAGCGGUGAAAUGCUUAGAUAUCACGAAGAACUCCGAUUGCGAAGGCAGCUCACUGGACUGCAACUGACACUGAGGCUCGAAAGUGUGGGUAUCAAACAGG